rnacentral:misc_RNA from 1 species
GAUGAAGAACGUAGUGAAAUGCGAUAAGUAAUGUGAAUUGCAGAAUUCAGUGAAUCAUCGAAUCUUUGAACGCACAUUGCGCCCAUUAGUAUUCUAGUGGGCAUGCCUGUUCGAGCGUCAUUAAGUCCACUUAAGCCCUGCUUAGUGUUGGGAGACUGCUCCAGCGGUGCUACCCUGUAGCUACCCUGCAGCUCCUCAAAGACAGCGGCGGAGUUGUGGUAUCCUCUGAGCUUAGUAACUUGUUCUAGCUUUCGAGUACACCACUUCCCCUGACGUAAAACCCUUAAUUUUUAAUGGUUGACCUCGGAUCAGGUAGGAAUACCCGCUGAACUUAAGCAUAUCAAUAAGCGGAGGA